ensembl:lncRNA
AGGCACAUCAUUUUUUAGACUAGGUACUUGUGCACUCAGGACCGGUAUGUAUUAUUCAUUUUACACUUGAAUUUAACUUUAUUUGCUCAUAAAAGCAAUACACAGAGGCUUCUGCAGAUUGUCACGGAUGGAUUCGGCCGAGUGAGGACUGGAGAAACGGAAAGCCCGGAAGUCUCGGGGAAGAAAGCUGUUGCCAGUGUGAGUGUGACGUUUGAGUACUCUGAGCAUUAGUAGGGCGUGCUCUCCGUGGCAGCCUGGAGCUGCAUCUCUCCUGCUGCCGUGGGUACCAGCAGCUGGCGGGCACUUCUGCCUCUGAGGCCGGCGCUUCCCCGCUGGGCCUUGUUACCACAGCUUCCCUCUGUGCACACCAAGCUGCGGCCUCUGUUAGACACCAGCAGCCGCCCCACACGCAGGGUCACCGUGAGGGUGUCUGCUGCAGCCCGCCGUCCCCCGCCUGUCCCUGUCUGACCUCUCCCCGCGUCCUGGAAUCAGUACUUCCUGUGGCGGUUGUGGUUGGGUUGGUACCUAACUUCCUGCCUCGUAUGGCUCUGGGCCUCGUUUUCGCUUCAUUUUUCUGAGAAAGUAGUAUUUUACGUAACUUCUUUGUAAUCUGGUACCUUCGGUACAUUGUCUGUGGUAAUGAUUAUGAACUUGGGCUCCUGUAGCCUCGCUGUGGCAGAGAGUGCCUACCUGCCUGCUGUCACCUGUUUCUCCUUUGGAAGCGGUACCCUGAUUUACUCAGAGUGGGCAGGCCCACUGUCCUCAGAGAGACUAGGACGCGGCCCAUCCCGAGGACGCGCCCUGAAUCCAUGUGGGUGGACGCGGAGCCCCACCUCCGUUCAGCCGAGCCGAGGCCACAGCUUUGCAGUGAGGAGGCCGUGACUGGGUCCCGCGGGGCGGCCGCUGUCCGUGAGCCGCGACUGCACGCUGGGGACGCUCAGCGCUUCGAGCGGGAGGUUGGAUUCUGGCUGUGGCUGUGCUGUGAGCUCCACCGAGCUGAGCCGUGGGAUGGGACACAGGCUCAGCAGUGACUUGGUGCUUGCGGGGGGCGUGGCCUUUGUGCCGCAGUUGAAGCCUGAUGCACGGACCCCUAUGCUGCUUUCUCCUGGCCGUGUCAGCACGAAGCCAGUGGAUGUCACAGCCGUUCCACAGCCAGGAAGCAGCAGAUAUUUCGGAGAACCCUUCCAGACCACAGUCCACUCACUCCUGAAAUGACCCAGGGUUUGAGAGUCGGCUCCGGUGACAACGAGGUGUCUGGGCUGAGGAGCUGAGCCCGGGACAGCAGCAGGAGCCAGCAGCAGGAGCCAGGGCUGCUGUGCGCCCUGCUCACUUCACUCUGCCAGUCUACGCGCCGUGCUCAGAAGGACAGGAGAUCAGAGACAACACGCCCACUGACUGGUGUUACAGUGUGAUCUGAAACAGCCCCACAGCCCAAUGUCUUCGGAAGGUGGCUGGGCUAUAGGGCGCCACAGCUGACUUGCUGUUAGGAGGUGGAAAGACGACGCGAGCUCUGUCCUCAGCUCCUCCCUUCUCUGCUCCCAGCCACCGUGACACAGCAGCUCUCCUCUGCCCAGGCC